AUUAAAGUUGCUGCAGUUAAAAAGCUCGUAGUUGGAUUUCGGAUUAAUGGGAGUUAAGGUCCAUCAAUUUGAUGUGUACCUUAUUCUCGUUUCCUUCCUUUUGAAUACACUCCCUGAAAUUUUUUUUUGGGGAUCAAAGUGUUUCAAAUCUUUUACUGUGAAGAAAUUAGAGUGUUCAAAGCAGGCGUAAUCUAGCCUUUGAAUAUAUUAGCAUGGGAUAAUGAAAUAGGACUUUAGUUCUACUUUCGUUGGUUUCUAGGGCUAAAGUAAUGAUUAAUAGGGAUAGUUGGGGUCACUAGUAUUUAAUUGUCAGAGGUGAAAUUCUAAGAUUUAUAAAGACUAACUACUGCGAAAGCAUUUGACAAGGGUGUUUUCAUUAAUCAAGAACGAAAGUUGGGGGAUCGAAGAUGAUCGGAUACCGUCGUAGUCUCAACCAUAAACUAUGCCGACCAAGGAUCCGGGGGUGUUAAAUAUGGAUGACUCUCCGGGCACUUAUAGAGAAAUCAUAAGUAUUUGGGCUCCGGGGGGAGUAUGGUCGCAAGGCUGAAACUUAAAGGAAUUGACGGAAGGGCACCACAAGGAGUGGAACCUGCGGUUUAAUUUGACCCAACACGGGGAAACUUACCAGGUCCAGACACAGUGAGGAUUGACAGAUUGAGAGUUCUUUCUUGAUUCUGUGAGUGGUGGUGCAUGGCCGUUUCUAGUUGGUGGAGUGAUUUGUCUGGUUAAUUCCGUUAACGAACGAGACCUUAACCUAUUAAAUAGUUGCUUGAACACAUGAAUAUUUUAUUCUUUGUUCGGUUAACUUCUUAGAGGGACUCUUCACUGAGAGAGUGAAUGGAAGUUUGAGGCAAAAACAGGUCUGUGAUGCCCUUAGAUGUUCUGGGCCACACGCGCGUUACACUGACAUAUUCAACGAGCAUUUUCCUGGCCCGAUGGGGUUGGGUAAUCUUUUAAAUGUAUGUCGUGCUGGGGAUAGAUCAUUGUAAUUAUUGGUCUUGAACGAGGAAUUCCUAGUAAGUGCAAGUCAUCAACUUGCGCUGAUUACGUCCCUGCCCUUUGUACACACCGCCCGUCGCUCCUACCGAUUGAAUGGUCCGGCGAGAACUCAAGAUGGAAAUAGGUUUUGGACACCGUCAGGUGCUCCAACUAUAUCCAGAAUUUGUUCAAACCUUACCAUUUAGAGGAAGGAGAAGUCGUAACAAGGUUUCCGUAGGUGAACCUGCGGAAG
rnacentral:rRNA from 1 species